ACUCUAGUCCUCUCAUCAAUACAUGAUAUAAGUCAUUUGACUAGAGUCACUGAGAUCUUUGUCUCACUGCCAUACCGUUCCCAGUCUCAAGAACAACGCUCUCACCAACCUCCUCGUGCACAUCCUCCACUAUAGGCGGAUCAACGAGGAAAACUUGUCCCUGACCUAUCAAUACUAGAGGAAGAGGGGGUCUAACCCUACUCGUCCUACUACAAAUGUCACUCUAGUCCGAGGCAUCUGCGGGAUACACACAUCUAACCGUAUAAGGCUAUAUAUAUGCCAUAUGUAUAAAUAUUUAUAUAAUACUCCAAUCCAUAGAUAUUUAUUUAAUACUCCAAUCCAUACAAACAUGCACAGGCGGUGGAAACUACCAAGCUGGAGUACGGUAGGGGUAGAGGGAAUUUCCGUUGGAGCGGUGAAAUGCAUAAAGAUCGGAAAGAACACCAACGGCGAAAGCACUCUGCUGGGCCGACACUGACACUGAGAGACGAAAGCUAGGGGAGCGAAUGGGAUUAGAUACCCUAGUAGUCCUAGCCGUAAACGAUGGAUACUAGGCGCUGUGCGUAUCGACCCGUGCAGUGUUGUAGCUAACGCGUUAGGUAUCCCACCUGAGGAGUACGUUCGCAAGAAUGAAACUCAAAGGAAUUGAUGAGGGCCCGCACAAGCGGUGGAGCAUGUGGUUUAAUUCGAUGAAAAGCGAAGAACCUUACCAAGGCUUGACAUGCCGCGAAUCCUCUUGAAAGGGAGGGGUGCCUUCGGGAACACGGACACAGGUGGUGCAUGUUUGUCGUCAACUCGUGCCGUAAGGUGUUGGGUUAAUUCCCGCAACGAGCGCAACCCUUGUGUUUAGUUGCCAACGUUGAGUUUGGAACCCUGAACAGACUGCCGGUGAUAAGACGGAGGAAGGUGAGGAUACAUAUAUAUACAUAUAUAUAUAUAUAUAUAUACAUAUAUAUAUAUAUAUAUAUAUAUAUAUAUAUAUAUAGAUCUUAGUUCAAGUGAGGAAUGUAAGAGCCUUAGUCCUUGGAGCCUAGGAGUCCCUGUUGAGCCUUGGAUGAGCCUGUUGGACCCUGUCAGCCGCACCUGUGCACCAUCUGGGCUGCCCUAGCGGCUAGGCGCCCGUGCGCCCUGGCUAGCCACCACUACGGAUCUGAGCUUGAGCAGCCGCAUUCGUUGACUCCUUGACUCGUGCUUUGCGGCUGUCUUCUUCUAUAACUUUCCCUACCUUCAGAUUAGAGAGUUUUCUACUUCUUUCCAACUUCUUCACACUCUCUACGUC
rnacentral:rRNA from 1 species